UGGGGAAUUUUGGACAAUGGGCGAAAGCCUGAUCCAGCAAUGCCGCGUGUGUGAAGAAGGCCUUCGGGUUGUAAAGCACUUUUGUCCGGAAAGAAAUCCUUGGCUCUAAUACAGUCGGGGGAUGACGGUACCGGAAGAAUAAGCACCGGCUAACUACGUGCCAGCAGCCGCGGUAAUACGUAGGGUGCAAGCGUUAAUCGGAAUUACUGGGCGUAAAGCGUGCGCAGGCGGUUUGCUAAGACCGAUGUGAAAUCCCCGGGCUCAACCUGGGAACUGCAUUGGUGACUGGCAGGCUAGAGUAUGGCAGAGGGGGGUAGAAUCCCACGUGUAGCAGUGAAAUGCGUAGAGAUGUGGAGGAAUACCGAUGGCGAAGGCAGCCCCCUGGGCCAAUACUGACGCUCAUGCACGAAAGCGUGGGGGAGCAAACAGGAUUAGAUACCCUGGUAGUCCACGCCCUAAAACGAUGUCAACUAGUUGUUGGGGGAUUCAUUUCCUUAGUAACGUAGCUAACGCGUGAAGUUGACCGCCUGGGGAGUACGGUCGCAAGAUUAAAACUCAAAUGAAUUGACGGGGUCAUA
rnacentral:rRNA from 1 species